AUGCCCAUAUCAUGUGGAACCACUGCUUCUUGUACAAUCACCAAAGUUAAGCAAAAUUUAGCCUGGUCAGUAGCUAGAUGGGUGACCACUUGGGAAUAUCAAGUGCUGUAAG